AACGAACGCUGGCGGCAUGCCUAACACAUGCAAGUCGAACGAGACCUUCGGGUCUAGUGGCGCACGGGUGCGUAACGCGUGGGAAUCUACCCUCAGGUUCGGAAUAACUCAGAGAAAUUUGAGCUAAUACCGGAUGAUGACGUAAGUCCAAAGAUUUAUCGCCUGAGGAUGAGCCCGCGUAGGAUUAGGUAGUUGGUGAGGUAAAGGCUCACCAAGCCGACGAUCCUUAGCUGGUCUGAGAGGAUGAUCAGCCACACUGGGACUGAGACACGGCCCAGACUCCUACGGGAGGCAGCAGUGGAGAAUAUUGGACAAUGGGCGAAAGCCUGAUCCAGCAAUGCCGCGUGAGUGAUGAAGGCCUUAGGGUUGUAAAGCUCUUUUACCCGGGAUGAUAAUGACAGUACCGGGAGAAUAAGCUCCGGCUAACUCCGUG
rnacentral:rRNA from 1 species